CAGUCGCCGCGGUAAUACAGAGGGUGCGAGCGUUAAUCGGAUUUACUGGGCGUAAAGCGUGCGUAGGCGGCUUCUUAAGUCGGAUGUGAAAUCCCUGAGCUUAACUUAGGAAUUGCAUUCGAUACUGGGAAGCUAGAGUAUGGGAGAGGAUGGUAGAAUUCCAGGUGUAGCAGUGAAAUGCGUAGAGAUCUGGAGGAAUACCGAUGGCGAAGGCAGCCAUCUGGCCUAAUACUGACGCUGAGGUACGAAAGCAUGGGGAGCAAACAGGAUUAGAUACCCCAGUAGUCCCUGUCUCUUAUAC
rnacentral:rRNA from 1 species